GGAGAGGUGUCCGAGUGGUCGAAGGAGGCGGUCUUGAAAACCGUUGAGCCAUUGUGUUCCGGGGGUUCGAAUCCCUCCCUCUCCG
rnacentral:tRNA from 1 species